rnacentral:rRNA from 1 species
UACGAAGGGAGCUAGCGUUGUUCGGAAUCACUGGGCGUAAAGCGCACGUAGGCGGAUGUGUCAGUCAGGGGUGAAAUCCCGGAGCUCAACUUCGGAACUGCCUCUGAUACAGCACGUCUUGAGUCCGGAAGAGGUGGGUGGAAUUCCUAGUGUAGAGGUGAAAUUCGUAGAUAUUAGGAAGAACACCGUGGCGAAGGCGGCCCACUGGUCCGGUACUGACGCUGAGGUGCGAAAGCGUGGGGAGCAAACAGG